rnacentral:rRNA from 1 species
GUGGGGAAUAUUGCACAAUGGGCGCAAGCCUGAUGCAGCCAUGCCGCGUGUGUGAAGAAGGCCUUCGGGUUGUAAAGCACUUUCAGCGAGGAGGAAGGGUUCAGUGUUAAUAGCACUGUUCAUUGACGUUACUCGCAGAAGAAGCACCGGCUAACUCCGUGCCAGCAGCCGCGGUAAUACGGAGGGUGCAAGCGUUAAUCGGAAUUACUGGGCGUAAAGCGCACGCAGGCGGUUUGUUAAGUCAGAUGUGAAAUCCCCGCGCUUAACGUGGGAA